UAGAUGACAAUGAAGAGUACCGAACAUGCUAUAUCAGAGGCACGGCAGAAUCUGCUCAGAUGGCUGAAAGCAUGUUACAUGAAAUAAUUACAACGCAACCCCUCAUUAUAGUGUAUGAAACUUGGGUUCCAGAGAAAGCAGUAGGACGUAUUAUUGGAAAGAAAUGGAGAAAAUAUUAGAUCAAUUUCAAGAGCUUCAAAUACUAAAAUCAACGUGGAUAGUGUAUCUUCUAAUAAAAGAGGAGAAGCAAAUGAGGUAAGAGUUGUGAUCAAGGGCACCUCUGAGAUGAUUGCUGUUGCUCGCUCUCUGAUACAAGAAAAAGUGGAUGAAGAUGUAGAAGUGAGGAGAAAGAUGGAACUCUGUCAGUCCAGUAGAUCUCCCAGGAACAA